GGGGGUGGGGCAUCACUGCUUUCUGAUUUGGCGGUGCUCCUACUUUGUGAAAGGGUGUGCCACCAUGAAGUAAGAUAUAGGACACUUGCAUAUGGGUCAAAGGACGGGUACCACAUCCUGCUCCUGGGCUGAGGCUGCAGGCCAGGGAGCCACUGCAGAGAGAGCAGGUGGCAGAAGUGAGCCCACUUUUCCUGAUCAAAAUGGUCUGCGGUCACUUUUGAGAUACUCCUAGUGAAGUCAACAGCUGUCAGCAUAACAGGCCAAAGGGGCAUCUUUGCAGAUCAAGCCUGAUGCAAGUUUACACCUAGUGUGUGACAGGAGAGAGCUACUGUAGAAAGUAGCUAACCUGCUCCUCUCUGGAUUCACCACCUCACACUCUGGCCAGUUCUCCUGUAAUCUCCAGCAGUCUCAGGACAAGUACCAGGUCCAGUUCAAGGCAGAGGGAAAGGCCAAGAAGAAGGACCACUUGCAAAGGUCUCCAAUUAGCUGAGGUGUAAAGCAAAACCACAUCUUCAGGGGCCCAGGUAAGGGACUGCAACAGCUGAGGCUUAGGUACACUGGUCCUUCUCUCAAUGCCACUGUGGGAAAGUCAUCUUUGCCAGCAGGGCAGACACAUUUUAAAUGUCCAUGGCUCUUUGCUUAAUGAUCUCCUUUCAUAAUCUUCAGCUUCCCAUGUGAGCUCCUUUCAAGAGGUUGUGGUUCAGCUGAUGUCUCAGGGCACUCAAGUCACUUCAGCAGGAGAUGUUUCUCAGUAGGCAGAGGGUGGAUUUUCAGGGAUACAGAGUUGCUGAUGCACACUUGCAAAUAUAUCCAUCACUACAUGCCACUCUGCAGAAAACAGUGAUCAGCUUGUUUUUUUUUAAACAGAGACAAGGGUAUGUGCCUGGCACAUCUCUUACAGGGUAGGGGCUAAACCCAUCACUAGGUUACACAAGAGCUGGAGGUAUAUUCUAGGUUGGAGUAUCUGUCCCCUCACAGUGAUGCAUAGAGGUGCGGGAGACAUAGACCUAAAUCCUGGAGCUGCAGCUUAAGUUGAAAAGACAAAAAAUAGUGCUUCCAGAAGAAAAUGUGGGGCAAAUCAGAGGUUCUAUCAGCAGACUUUGGCUAGGGUGACUUGCUUUCUGUAUGCUAAACCUGACCAAAUAGAGACACUAAAGAAAGCAGAU